CAGUCGCCGCGGGAAUACGUAGGUGGCAAGCGUUGUCCGGAAUUAUUGGGCGUAAAGCGCGCGCAGGCGGAUCAGUUAGUCUGUCUUAAAAGUUCGGGGCUUAACCCCGUGAUGGGAUGGAAACUGCUGAUCUAGAGUAUCGGAGAGGAAAGUGGAAUUCCUAGUGUAGCGGUGAAGUGCGUAGAUAUUAGGAAGAACACCAGUGGCGAAGGCGACUUUCUGGACGAAAACUGACGCUGAGGCGCAAAAGCCAGGGGAGCGAACGGGAUUAGAUACCCGCGUAGUCCCUGUCUCUUAUACA
rnacentral:rRNA from 1 species